GAUAAAUUAAACCUAAGAGGAGGGGGAUAACAGAUGUUCAACCACCAGGGAGAAGAGAUUGCGUCCAGCAACAUGUGGAUGAGCAGAUGUUGAGUUGGGAGAGCAUCAACCAAGCAGAACAUGGAAUUCCAGAUGUUUUACCACAAGAGCGUAACAAAGGUGGAUCAGGAUAUGUUCUACCUAAAGGGUUCUACCAAGGAGAAGGUGGAUUAAGAUGUUUAACCAGCAGAACCAGCAGAAGACCAUCGCCAGAAGACCACAGGCUACUGUAUAAUUACACGCCAGAGAGUACGGCUGCUGCCA
rnacentral:lncRNA from 1 species